rnacentral:snRNA from 1 species
AUCACUUCUUGGCCUUUUGGCUAAGAUCAAGUGCAGUAUCAGUUGAAGUCUUGGCAUGUCCUCUCUUUAGGGACUGUAGCCUGCCCUGGCAGCAGGCUGGGCUCAGUGACCUAGCUCUUUUUUGUCUGUGAGUACCUCAU